AAUUAAUUCCAUUCCCCACCCCCAAGAACCCCCCAAUGCACCAACAACCAAGAGAAUGAACUAAAGAGAAAAAAGGAAGACAGAAGAAAACAACAAACAAAUAAUACAUUUAAAACAAAGGACAUCAAGGCCAACUGUAUAUGUUUGUGUGCAUGUCUGGCACUAUUACAUGUAUGUGUGUGUUCUUGUAUGUGUUUAUUUGAAUGAGAGUGUGUGUAUAUGUGUACAAACACCUGCACGGCCUCAGCCUCAGGAAAACUCUGCCACUUAGUGUCAUUCAAAUGUACUUUUUAUUAUGAUUUAUUUUUUAAACUUUAAAAAAAAAGUAUUUUUGACCAUGAUUCUCUCUGUCACUCAGCAACUCCACUCCCACUUGUCUCCAAUUCCACAUACCUUCCCUCAGCCCAUCCCAACUAUCUCUGCUAUGAAACUUUGUCAAUGAUGACACAAUCUUUCAAAGUGUGUGAUUGUACACGUAUUUUUAAAACGUUCACUCACUGCCUAUAGACCGUUACCAUAUGGUGUUCAAAUGUAUUAUGAACGUUUCACUGACCUGCAUUUCAGGUUUGUUCUUUGUGUGCAUGUAUGGAUAACAUUAUGGUGACAUAUAACGACCUUCUGCUGUUAUAGGUGACAAUUGAACUCCACAAGUGCUACUCUAGGAUCAUGUUCUCCCUGUCUAGGUAAUCUUAAUCAUUUCUGAUCAUAAAAGGCACAAAUGAUCCUACAUCAGCACUCCUACCCUCCUCUUCUCUGGAGAUCAGACUGUUGACAGUUCACAGAAGAUAUGGUUUAGUUUGAUAGAAUGAUUUGAGCGCGGGAUGCAUUAUUUGGGCCACUGCUUAGUGUUUACUGUGGAUGGAUGCCUUGUGUGUCUCACGUUUGUCUCACAGAGAAAAGUCUCAGAUGACAGACUUGACUUGCCAUUAACCCUUUCACUCUGUGAGGAGCAUAGGUCAACCACAAAUGAUCUCUGCUGGUAACCGAGCCACCACAGAUACAUGGGGACUAUUACACUGUCACACUUGGCAGGCCCUUGAUUUACUUUGUCUGAGUGGUAACAAAUAAAACACAUAAAAUGCAUUAUAAACUGGGUGGUUCGAGCCCUGAAUGCUGAUUGGCUGACAGCCGUGGUAUAUCAGACCACAGGUAUGACAAAACAUUUAUUUUUACUGCUCUAAUUAUGUCAGAGGUUUGUGGUAUAUGGCCAAUAUACCACGGCUAAGGGCUGUAUGCAGGCACUCCGCUUUGCCGUGGUAUGUUUUAUUUACUCUUUUUCACACCAGGCAUGGGGAUGAGGACCACUGAAGUGGGAAGAAAAGGAUGUCUGAGCCAUGAUUUUCUCUUCACAGUGAAAUGCUCUGUUCGGGAUGGGCAACCCCUUGCUCGACAUCUCAGCUGGACAACGACUUCCUCCACAAGUAUGGACUGAAGCCCAGCACCCAGAUACUGACCGAGGACAAGCACAAAGCCAUUAGGUCCUAUGAUUGAGUGUAGUCUGGCCCAGGAGUGUGAAGGUGAACGGAAAGGUUCUGGAGCAACGAACCGCCCUUGCUGUCUCUGCCUGGCCGGUUCCCCUCUCUCCACUGGGAUUCUCUGCCUCUAACCCUAUUACAGGGGCUGAGUCACUGGCUUACUGGUGCUCUUCCAUGCCGUCCCUAGGAGGGGUACGUCACUUGAGUGUGUUGAGUCACUGACGUGGUCUUCCUGUCUUGGGUUGUGCCGUGGCGGAGAUCUUUGUGGGCUAUACUCGGCCUUGUCUCAGGAUGGACCUGAGCCCUAGGACCAUGCCUCACGACUACCUGGCAUGAUGACUCCUUGCUGUCCCCAGUCCACCUGGCCGUGCUGCUGCUCCAGUUUCAACUGUUCUGCCUGCAGCUAUGGAACCCUGACCUGUUCACUGGAUGUGCUACCUGUCCCAGACCUGCUGUUUUCAACUCUCUAGAGACAGCAGGAGCGGUAGAGAUACUCGCAAUGAUCGGCUAUGAAAAGCCAACUGACAUUUACUCUUGGGGUGCUGACUUGUUGCACCCUCGACAACUACUGUGAUUACUAUUAUUUGACCCUGGUGGUCAUUUAUGAACAUUUGAACAUCUUGGCCAUGUUCUGUUAUAAUCUCCACCCGGCACAGCCAGAAGAGGAUUGGCCACCCCUCAUAGCCUGGUUCCUCUCUAGGUUUCUUCCUAGGUUUUGGUUUUGGCCUUUCUAGGUAGUUUUUCCUAGCCACCGUGCUUCUACACCUGCAUUGCUUGCUGUUUGGGGUUUUAGGCUUGCUUUCUGUACAGCACUUUUAGAUAUCAGCUGAUGUAAGAAGGGCUAUAUAAAUACAUUUGAUUUGAAGUCAGAUUCUACUUUAAAAAUGGGGCAGUGUAGUUUCAUCUUGGAUUUACUUUGUGGAAUCAUUUUUUUUAUUUGAUAGAAUUAAGAGAACAGUGUUUGGCCAGUGUUAGGCUAGUAGCCUAUUCAUGCACUUGUUUUAAUACCCUUUGAGUUUAAACAAAUGUUUUAAUGUAGUCGCAUGUAUACAGAAUCUGAUCAAUAUUUUGUUAUCUGUACAACAGUGCCACCGUGUGGCUGGAAAUGGAACCUAAUGGUCACAUGACACUGUAUAGUACAGGAUAAACAGAAUAUUUACCCUCUCUCUCCUGCAGGUGGCAAGAGCAGCGUUUUCUUUACCGGGAUUCAACAUGACAACAUUAGAAAACACAACUCAAAUCUGCAAAAGAGAAAAUGGCAUCUACUUUUCAUAGUUAUGAUAAAUAUACUUUUUAGAGUGGCAUUCAUUUGUAUUAUUAUGACUAAGGCAUAGGGACUGUAUUGUUGUCUAGGAAAUAUUCUCAGGCAUAUAUUAAACCAUAUGUCAUAUAAACAUCAAAUUACACUUUUAUUAGUCUGUUCGAGAUAACAUAAACCAUGUCAUUUAGCCUCUACACAGAGUAAUUCAACAGCCUCUUGUUAAAUAUUGUCAUAUUAACCCUGAAAUUAGGCAAUUAAAUUACCCUGUUAGAUGACUGAAUGAAGCCCUUUUCAUCAAUAAGGACCCCCAGAUAAAUAUUCAACAGCUUCCUGCGUGAACUGUACAUACAACCUGUUCACUAUUAGUUUAUCAUGACACCUGCGUCUGUCCAAUUCAAUGAUAAUAAAUAGUUUAGUUUCUCAUCUUGGCACUGAUGGUAAUGACUCCUUUCAGAGCUUGUUUGCU
rnacentral:lncRNA from 1 species